AUGGGAGUAAAAAAAUACUUUCAACAUGUCAAGAAAAAACUGGGAGAUGGGAAUGAGACUAGAUUAUGGGAGGAUUGGUGGGUGGGAUCUAAAUCUCUAAAAGAUCUAUACCCUAGACUAUACAAUAUUAGCUUUGAUCACAACAUUUCAGUGGCAGAUGCUAUUAACAGAGGGUGGCAAGGAUUUAGUUUUAGACGAACCUUGACCAGAGAAACGAUAGAACUAUGGAAUAGCCUAAAAACAAGAUGUGAGGAGGUGAGGAUGCAUGGGGGGGAAAGACCAGCCCCUUUGGAUGCUCACUAA
rnacentral:rRNA from 1 species